CUUUUCCAAUUGAAUACCCAACAAUCCUUAGAUACACUACUACAAAAACUGGAAAAGGGCCCCUAAUAAGAGAUCCGUUAUCUUAAUCAACGGGUAUGUUUGAUGUAAGAGAUCCUUUAAUAGAGAUAACGGGUCUCUUAUAAUCCCUUGGGCCCACAACUUUAUUAAGAGGAGUGAGAUAAGAAACCCAUUGUAAGAGCAACGGGUCUCUUAUAAGCCCUUGGGCCCAAAACUUUAUUAAGAAGAGUGAGAUAAGAAACCCAUUGUAAGAGCAACGGGUCUCUUACCUUCUUUUUCACUUCUCAUUAUUUAUGCGUGUUAAUUGUGCCAUCCUUUUGCUCAAUCUCUCUCCUCUGCAUCUCGUCACCGACAUUAUAUUCCUUUGCUAUUUUUUUUCCUCACAAACUCAUUUCUCUUUCACCUCCAAUUUAUUCCCUCUCAUCAAUGGCUUCUUCUGCUUCUUUUUUUUCCACCUUCAUCAACGCCUUAUUCGAGCAUAUGAAUGCUCCUUGUAUUUUGAGAAGUCUCCACCUCCAAGAUCCCUCUUUACUUAGCCUCCGAUGAUAGAUGCAAAGUGCUUCAGUGUAAUAAGAUCUAGAUUUAAGCAUUUAAGAAAUUCAAAGAGACCAAGAGUAGUAGAUCUUGUCGAAAUUGCGUAAGAUGGAGUAGUACUCGAGCGUAAUUAUAGUUGUAAAUUUUAGUGACUUUAAAUAUUUGUGUGUUAAUUUUUCUUGAAUUUUAUGUUGGUUUUUUUUUUUUUGUAUCUUAUCAAAUUUUUUUUUACCCCAGGCUAUUUCAUAUGGUCUAAAAGUAUUUUUAGGCAAAGUAUUGUAACUUACAAUCUUUUUAAUUUUCCGCCAAUUUGUAUAGAGCAUAAAAAUGAAAUAUUCAAAAUUCAAAUGCAAAAUUUAUAUUGUUUUUUUUAUAUAAAAACAAAGAACAAAGAAACCCGUUAAUUGACAUGACAGAUCUAUUUGACCACCAAACAUACCCCUUAUCUCAAUCAACAAGUUUUUUUCCGUCUAAAUUAUCAAUUUUCAAACUUAUGUAACAGACCUGCUAUCACUAACAACGGGCUCUUUGUCCUCACAAACAGAACCCUCUAAGGAAUGGGUCUCUUUAUCAAAUAGACCCUUGUGAUAGAGACCCAUUAUAAGGUGGUCUCUCAAGCAUAUUUUAACGGGUCUCUUUGCCAUUUUUUGUAGUAGUGAUAGUGAGUGAUAGGUCGGCCUCCGCAGAGUGUGACUCGUUAUCUUAGGUAUUGUAGGGUAGAUCACGUUCUACACAUUUAAUUGGUUAUACUCAACAAGGUUACCUAAAGGGUUUAGAACCUUGAAGCUAAGGAUAAUAAGUAAACAUGUGAUAGGUAAUUAUUCAACCAAAAAUUACAAGAGUUGUAAUCAGUAAAGAGUUUACUCACCUUGAAAAUGUGAUGCUUGAUAGUAAGGCCUCAGUCCGGUCAACUAUUACACAAAUAAAGGGUCUUGGAAUCAUUUAAUUCAACAGGGAUCAAUUAAUAUUGAAUAAAUGCUUUAAAGUUACCAAUCCUAUAUACCAUAUGGUACUUUAAAUUUAUUAAACAUAAUUAUUGAACUUUGCCUCGUUUUGUUUUUGUUUGUAGAUGAAUAACCUUUACAGACAACACUAUUUUGCCAAACAAAUUGAAAUUAAGGCUGAAUCUCAUAAAUUUCAGGGAAUGGGAAAACGAGUAGAGAAAUGUUCUUAAAAGUCAAAGGGUUGAAGCUCGUUUAUAUAUACCCAUUGAGAGCAGAUAUACUAUUGGUUUUACUCCUGAAAGGCAUGCAAAAGAUGUUUCGAAUGCAGAGAAAAUAAGGAAUCUCAUUUUAGAAUCUAUUCCAACUUGUUGGAAAACAAGGUUCAGGGACUAUGAGUUGACUAAUUUGCAUGAAUGUCUUCGUGCCAUCUAUUGAGGUGACAUUAGGGCAUUAGGAAGUGGAGGCAUCAAUAACCACAAUGUAAGAGAGGUCGUUAAUUAGAUCCCUUAUAUUGACUACUCCUAGACUGAGAGUGCAAGGUUUGAGACUUACAAAAUUCAUUGUAAGAUUAUGGCUAAGAAACUCAUGUGUGGUCAAUCAGUUAGGACCCAUGUCAAUGAACUGAUUGGAUUAUUCAAUCAGAUGGAUAUCCUAGGGAGACCGAUCGAUGAUGACUCUGCACAUGAUACUAUUAUGUUCUCGCUCCAUGAUGGAUUUUUUCUAGUCGGCUUAUUCAUGAUGAUUAAGGCUCGAUAGUGACAUUAGUCAACCUCUUGGUCAACCUUUCAGAGGAGUACUUGAAGAAGGAGGGAAGCCAGUGCUUCUAUUGUGGUAGGUGGUCUUGCCACACGCUUGGGUGUCCCCAUUAUACACACCAGUGAAAACGAAAGGGCCUAGGCGGGAGUAGAAAGUUAGCAAAAGGGGAAGUCACACUUCAAGUAGGAAAUGGAGCAAAAGUUGGCACUUGCUAUUGGAGAUUAUCAUUUAAGACUUCUAGUCUUGUUUUGGUGCUUAAUAAAUGUUAUUAUGUUCCAACAAUUACCAAAAACAU